UAUAAUUUUUUACUCUUCGUCUUAUUCAAAUUUUUUCGUGAUUGAUAUUUUUAUUUUUAUUAGAUGAUAAAUCAUGAAUAGUACUUUAUGUAUGAUUAAUUUUUGUCUAAUUUCCUAAAAUUUUUUUAAAUAAGAUGGAUGGUCAAACGUUAGACACGGAAACC
rnacentral:pre_miRNA from 1 species